GUCAAUAGAAUCAAACAUUUGUUAGAUUCAUUCAACAUAAUCUAAUACUAAAUGAAACCUGUUUCUACCAAGUAAGGUUUCACAAUCCUCUCGUGGACAAAUCUGUACUCUUUGUUGGUCCGAUGUCAUCCCUGGUAUGAUAACAGUCAUUUUUCGAGGCCCUUUGAACCCUAAGACAUUGGUGUCGUAAACCACUGCAGCCAGUUCUUGCCGGGGGUUAGUACGCUCUUCUCGUUUUUCACUCUUCAUCAGUGAAUACCCAUUGUCAAACACAGUAAAUUGUGUUCCCAAAAGAUUAGAUCUCAAUUUUCCAACAUAAGAUUCAGCUCCUCUUGAAAGAUCAGUGGGAUCAGAAGAAAUUAAAUAAUUGCUGGUUGCACUCUUCUUGCGCUUUCGCCCAGCUAAUAGAAAAACCUGUUAGGACCAGGAUUAGUCUCGUUCCAGAUGCAGAAACUGGUUGCAACACGAAUUGCUCAAUAUUGCCUUCAACAUUUCCUUCCAGCUCAGGACUCUGUGGGGACAAAAUAGUUUUAAAAAAUAUUG
rnacentral:misc_RNA from 1 species